rnacentral:rRNA from 1 species
CGGCGGACGGGUGAGUAAUGCCUAGGAAUCUGCCUGGUAUGGGGGACAACGUUUCGAAAGGAACGCUAAUACCGCAUACGUCCUACGGGAGAAAGCAGGGGACCUUCGGGCCUUGCGCUAUCAGAUGAGCCUAGGUCGGAUUAGCUAGUUGGUGAGGUAAUGGCUCACCAAGGCGACGAUCCGUAACUGGUCUGAGAGGAUGAUCAGUCACACUGGAACUGAGACACGGUCCAGACUCCUACGGGAGGCAGCAGAC